rnacentral:rRNA from 1 species
ACAUUGGACCAUUGCCCAAGUCCCAUUGACUAGGGCUCGAUGACCCAAAGUGGGUGUCAGGCCUGUAGUGGUGGUGCUCUGGUGUCCAUUGAUUACACGAAGAGUCGGGUUGUUUGCGAGUACAACCCAAAGUAGGUGGUAAACUCCAUCUAAGGCUAAAUAUGAGUACGAGUCCGAUAGCAAACAAGUACCGUGAGGGAAAGUUGAAAAGAACUUUGAAGAGAGAGUUCAAGAGUACGUGAAACCGCCAGGAGGGAAGCGGGUGAAGCCACAUGGUUGCCGUGCGGAUUCAGUUUUGCCGGUUGACCACCAGUGUUGCUCAUGGAUUGUUCAGUCAUGAGUGAUGUUGGUGAUUGUGCCAGUUGGCCGGUGGAAUGUAUAUUUGCAUGUGCAAUGAGUCACGACCGAUUGCUCGGCAGCUAAAGCUGUUAUUCGUGAAGUUAAUGAGUGCAUGGGUUUGCUAUGUGCUUAUUGGCUAAGGGUGACAGUGAUAGUGAUUCUGGGCAAUUGAGGACAGCACUCUCAGCUGAAGCGGAACAUGCCGUUUUGGUGGCAGGCUGUACGGUCGCGUGGGUGUCGUAUGCAUUGGACUGCUUGCAGGACUGUGUGUGCGGUGUCUACGGUCAGAUCCUUGCGUGUUAUGCCAGAGAGCAUAUGCCCCCGCUGUUCAGUGACGCGUUGGUCACUUACCCGUCCCGUCUUGAAACACGGACCAAGGAGUUCAGCCAGGCAGGCAAGUUCUGAGGGUCGAGCAAAACCCGAAGGCGAAGUGAAAGCAAAGGGGCUCCUCUUGGGCCUUCUAGAUGUGAUCCUGGGUAGGUGAGAGCCUCCGGGGCGCAACAUCGUCUCGUCGUGAUCCCGUGCGGAUACGGCAACAUUGGAGCUGGCACGCUGAGACCCGAAAGAUGGUGAACUAUCCCAGAGUAGGGCGAAGCCAGAGGAAACUCUGGGGGAGGCCCGAAGCGAUUCUAACCUGGCAAAUUGAUCGUCAGACUUUGGUAUAGGGGCGAAAGACUAAUCGAACCAUCUAGUAGCUGGUUCCCUCCGAAGUUUCCCUCAGGAUAGCUGGCGCUCGUUUGGAGGCAGUAGUACCCGGUAAAGCGAAUGAUUAGAGUGUUNUGGGUCGAAACGAUCUAAACCUAUUCUCAAACUCUAAAAGGGUACGAAGGUUGGCUCGCUUGUGAGUCGACACCUCGAAGCUGUAGUGCCAAGUGGCCACUUUUGGUAAGCAGAAGCUGGCGCUGUGGGAUGAACCAAACGUCCGGUUAAGGUGCCUAACAUGCGCUCAUUGGAAAUCCACAAAAGGUUUGGUUGAUAAAGACAGCAGACGGUGGUCAU